rnacentral:lncRNA from 1 species
GCCCUAGAAGUGGUCAGAAACACCGCCUGAGAGCAGCUCAAAGAGGCCUACGAACCAGGAGACUUGAUGAUACCACACCAGUUCCAGGUGGGAGAUGCAGUUCUCGUCUGACGACAUCGAGCUGAGAAUCUGAAACCUUGUUAAAAAGGCCCUUGCAUCGUGCUACUGACCACCCCCACUGCUGUCAAAGAAGAAGGCAUCUAUUCAUGCCUUUCACGUAAAGCGAGCUCCUAAAGAAUAAACCCCCUUUGUUGACCACUCUCAUUUCUACUCUGAUAGACCCUCUAAUAAUUUUGCUCUUACUGCUGACGUGUGGCCCACUAAUUUUUAAUAAUCUAAUGACCUUUGUUAGAGAGAGGGUUGGUGCUGUCCAGCUGUUAGUAUUAAGAUAACAAUACCAGUCUCUGCAGAACCUUGAAAAAGAGGUUGCAGUUUAGUUCUAAGAUUAGAACUAGUAACUAGAAGAAGUGGGGAAUGAAAGAUCCUGGCAGAAUGUAAAAGGACACAGAAGCCCUGAAAUUGGCAAGAUAGACAUCAGUGUUAGCAGAACUAGCUUCACUGAUUUAGAAAAAUAGAGGUGCACAAUGCUCUGGCCACUCCUUGAACCUGUGUGUCUGCCAAUGUUCUGACCAGGUGUGUGCCCAUUGCUGCACCUUCAUUAGACUCUUUCCUUGUACCCCUCCCAUACCCAUUUCUUGAGAAUAGACAUUGUUUAGAUCUGGAAAUCCCCUAAUCUCCCCCUUCUCCUUUCCCCCCUGAGGGCCUAUAAAAACUGGGAACUCUUUCCCCUCGAGGACGACUCCUCUACCCCUGCGUGGGAUAUGAGUCGUCCCCAGAGCUCUGGCUUUCCCCGAAUAAAGCCUCAUGUGGUU